GAUGAACGCUGGCGGCGUGCCUAAUACAUGCAAGUCGAGCGAACAGACGAGGAGCUUGCUCCUCUGACAUUAGCGGCGGACGGGUGAGUAACACGUGGAUAACCUACCUAUAAGACUGGGAUAACUUCGGGAAACCGGAGCUAAUACCGGAUAAUAUAUUGAACCGCAUGGUUCAAUAGUGAAAGACGGUUUUGCUGUCACUUAUAGAUGGAUCCGCGCCGCAUUAGCUAGUUGGUAAGGUAACGGCUUACCAAGGCAACGAUGCGUAGCCGACCUGAGAGGGUGAUCGGCCACACUGGAACUGAGACACGGUCCAGACUCCUACGGGAGGCAGCAGUAGGGAAUCUUCCGCAAUGGGCGAAAGCUUGACGGAGCAACGCCGCGUGAGUGAUGAAGGUCUUCGGAUCGUAAAACUCUGUUAUUAGGGAAGAACAAAUGUGUAAGUAACUGUGCACGUCUUGACGGUACCUAAUCAGAAAGCCACGGCUAACUACGUG
rnacentral:rRNA from 1 species